rnacentral:tRNA from 1 species
GCAGUGGUGGUUCAGUGAUAGAAUUCCUGCCCUCCAUGCAGGAGAUCCGGGUUCAAUUCCCAGCCACCACC